UCCACACUCACUGGCAGGUGCUGCCCUCAAA
rnacentral:piRNA from 1 species